AAAAUGCUAGCCUUUUGAUCAAGUUGAUUUUGAUCAAUCUUUGACAUCUUAGAGCUCCAAAUCAGCUUCUAGAUACUUUUUAGGAUGCCAAAUAAGCUGAAUAUGAAGUCCCACACGUUGCCCAUGCUUGGAAAAAUAAGAAAGGGCUAAUACAGUAAAGCCAGCAAGCAAUACAUUAAAUUCGGCCAAAUUGUUGAUGCUGUCCGUACAAGCCCUUUUUGAUUGCAUUUGAGUCUGAUUUAACUUGAUUCCAUGACCACUUAGGCAUAUGUAUUGAAUUCAUAAAGCAUUGGAACCAUUUCAUGCUUCCUGGACUCCAAAAAUGUACCAAAAUCGUCAUCCGGGUCCGUACCAGUCUCCAGCGCUUGUAUCAGCAAAAUAGGUCUUGGUUCUUUGGUCAUGAUCAUUCCUUCUUGAUUAUGAUUUAUCCUUUGAAUAAGCACAGCAAGGUUAUCCUUGAACUUCUUGGCUUGUACUCUAGUGAUUGGUCCCACCUUCAUCCGUAAGGGAUUAGCACCCCAGCGGGUUAUCGGUUGAGCAGGCUCGGGCGGAAUCACAUCAGUGUGCCUGUUGAAGAAUGAGUCUGUGACUUAUAGGUAGUGGCUUGGUUCAAGGAACCCAUCGGAGCCGUAGCAAAAGCAAGUCUUCAUAAGGCAAUUGUCACUGCUUAUGGAUACAAACCUAGGUGAUCUAUCCAUGACUAUGAUGAAGCUUGGGUGAAACUAAAUGGAGGUCUGAACUGACUGAUGUUGAAGAAUUAAUGGAUGAGUUAUGGUUAGGGGUGAAAUGCCACUUGAACCCAGAGCUAGCUCGUUUUCCCCGAAAUGUGUUCAACCAUAGUAGUUGAUUGGACAUCUAGGGGUAAAGCACUGUUUCGGUGUGGGCUGCGAGAGCGGUACGAAAUUGAGGCAAACUCUGAAUACUAGAUAUGACCUCAAAAUAACAGGGGUCAAGGUUAGCCAAUGAGACAAUGGGGGAUAAGCUUCAUCGUCGAGAGGGAAACAGCUCGGAUCAUCAACUAAGGCCCUUAAAUGACCACUCAAUUAUAAAAGGAGGUAGGGGUGUAAAGAUAGCCAGGAGGUUUGUUUAGAAGCAGCCACCUUUGAAAGAGUGUGUAAUAGCUCACUGAUCAAGUGCUCUUGCACUGAAGAUGAACGGAGCUAAGCGAUCUGCCGAAGUUAUGGGAUGUAAAAAUACAUUAAUUGUGGAGUGUUCCACUUAGAAGGAAACACCUGUGUGAGCCAUGGCAGAUGAAGCAAAAGCUAGAAUGUCAACUUGUGUAACACAAAUAAUGGUGAAAAUCCAAUGCCCCGAAAACCUAAGGGUUCCUCCGCAAGGUUCAUCCAUGGAAGGUGAGUCAGGGCUUAAGAUCAUGUCGAAAGGUCUGGUCGAUGGGCAACAGGUGAAUAUUCCUGUACUACCCCUUGUUGGUCUCGAGGAUGGAGGCGGCUAGGUUAGCCGAAAAAUGGUUAUCGGUUCAAGGAUGCAAGGUGGCCCUACUUUUUCAGGGUAAGAAAGGGUAGAGUAAAUGCCCUGAUCUAAUGUUCGAGCACCAGGCGCUAUGGCACUGAAGUAACCCAUGCCAUACUCCAAGGAAAAGCUCGAACGACCUUCAACAAAAGGGUACCUGUACUCGAAAUCGACACAAUUGGGUAGGUAGAGUAUACCUAGGGGCUCGAGACAACUCUCUCUAAGAAACUCGGCAAAAUAGCCUCGUAACUUUGGGAAAAGGGGUGCCUCCUCACAAAAAGGAUCGUAAUGACCAAGCCCAGGUGACUGUUUACUAAAAACACAGGUCUCUACAAAGUUAUAAGACCAUGCAUUAGGGCUGACGCCUACCAGUGAUGGAAGGUCAAGGAAGUUAGUGACCUGAUGAUAAGGGAGCUGGCGACCGAAGCCUUGCCAAACGGCGACCAUAACUAUAAUGGUCCUAAGGAGGUGAAAUUUUUUGUCGUAUAACUAUUUGGGCACUGUCUUGGAGAGAGGCUCGGUGAAAUAGACAUGUCUGUGAAGAUGUAAACUACCUGCACCUCGACAAAAAGAACCUAUGAAGCAUCACUAUUCCUUAGGAUUGGCUUUGGGCCUUUCCUACGCAGCUUAGCUGGAAGGCAAAGAAGGCCUCCUUCUGGGCGGGCCUGAGCCAUCAGUGAGAUACCACUCUGGAAAAGCUAGAAUUCUAACCUUGUAUCAGGACCUACGGGCCAAUGGAUAGUCUCAGGUAGAUAGUUUCUAUGGGGUGCAGGCUUCCCAAAAGGUAACGGAGGUGUGCAAAGGUUUCCUCAGGCCAAAUGGAGAUUGGCCCUCGAGUGCAAAGGUAGAAGGGAGCUUAACUUCAAGACCCACCCAUUGAGCAGGGAUGAAAGUCGACCUAAUGAUCUGAUGGUGCCGAAUAGAAGGGCCAUCAUUCCACGGAUAAAAGUUACUCUAGGGAUAACAAGCUAAUCUUCCCUAAGAGCUUAUAUCGAUAGGGGAAGGUUUGGCACUUCGAUGUUAGUACUUCACCACCUGGGGCUGUAGUAUGUUCCAAGGGUUGGGCUGUUCGCCCAUUAAAGCGGUAUGUGAGCUGGGUUCAGAAUGUUGUGAGAUAGUUUGGUCCAAUUCUAAUGUGGGCAUUAGAGCAUUGAAAGGACCUUUCCCUAGUACAAGAGGACCGGGAAGGAUGCACCUCUGGUGUACUAGUUAUCAUGCCCAUAGUAAACACUGGGUAGCCAAGUGUAGAGUGAAUAACUGCUGAAACCAUCUAAGUAAUAAGCCUACCCCAAGAUGAGUGCUCUCAUAUUCUAACUUCCCUAGAGCUUCUGGUAGCACAACCAAGACAGCGAUGAGUUUUCUUCCCUUGCGGGGAUGGAGCGACAGAAGUUUAAUAAUUACGAUAGGUGUCAAGUGGAAGUGCAGUGAUGUAUGUCGCUGAGGCAUCCUAACAGACCGGUAGACUUGUAC
rnacentral:rRNA from 1 species